AUUGAACGCUGGCGGCAUGCCUUACACAUGCAAGUCGAACGGUAACAGGUCUUCGGAUGCUGACGAGUGGCGAACGGGUGAGUAAUACAUCGGAACGUGCCCGAGAGUGGGGGAUAACGAGGCGAAAGCUUUGCUAAUACCGCAUACGAUCUCAGGAUGAAAGCAGGGGACCGCAAGGCCUUGCGCCCACGGAGCGGCCGAUGGCAGAUUAGGUAGUUGGUGGGAUAAAAGCUUACCAAGCCGACGAUCUGUAGCUGGUCUGAGAGGACGACCAGCCACACUGGGACUGAGACACGGCCCAGACUCCUACGGGAGGCAGCAGUGGGGAAUUUUGGACAAUGGGCGCAAGCCUGAUCCAGCCAUGCCGCGUGCAGGAUGAAGGCCUUCGGGUUGUAAACUGCUUUUGUACGGAACGAAAAGACUCUGGUUAAUACCUGGGGUCCAUGACGGUACCGUAAGAAUAAGCACCGGCUAACUACGUGCCAGCCGCCGCGGUAAAAC
rnacentral:rRNA from 1 species